rnacentral:tRNA from 1 species
GCCCCGAUAGUGUAGUCCGGCCAAGCACCUCAGGUUCUCAACCUGGUAACGUGGGUUCAAAUCCCGCUCGGGGCG